rnacentral:rRNA from 1 species
GUUCGAUCUCCUCGUUCUGAUUCGCUGCCUCUCUCUCUCCCUCCCGCGCCCCCCUCCCUGGAUCCCUGCCCCGCCGCCGCCGUCGCCGCUCGCCCGCGCACCCGUCGCGCCUGCUCGUGGUGCAGCCACGCCUCCGCCGUGGCGCUUGCCUCCCGUGCACACGGCAGGUGCUCCGCCUCUUCCUCCCAUCCGGCCAGAUCUGCGGCGCACGGUCUCUCGCUCUAGCUCGCAACCCUCAGCCGUGGCUUGGGUUUCGGGCUGGGCAUCGCCUUCGUCGACGGCGCGGCUCCGUUGGACUCCGGCGGCUCCUCUCCGUCUCCUUCCUCGCCCCCACACGCGGCUCCACUUCCCGCUGGCCAUGGGGCUGGCCGGCAGCAGCGCCUCCCUCCCUCCCUCCCUGCCGCGGCCGGUCCCGCCGCACGGAGCAGCGCCGCUGACGGGUCCAUCGGCAGGUUGCAGGAAUAGCUUUAUAUUAGGAGCAGCUUCUCCACCACCACUCAGCGGUAGAGGAGGUGUGCUUCUUCCCCAACACAACAUAGCGGCAGCCACGGUAUCCUCGGCCCUCUCCCUCUAUCUACCCUCUUCUGUUCCUUACCGAAAAAUCAUUUUUUACCUUGUAUAAUACUUGUGAUUUGGACCGAUUUGUGUUUUGGGGGGCAUCAAUUUGGUGCUUCCCCUGUCCAUGUGCUGC